GGUUAUCAAACUCUUUGUUUUCACUCUUUUCCACAAUGUGAACCUCCACAAAGAAGAUCUAUACUGGGUGCCCAAAGUUUAAUCUAUGGCUGUAAGGAAAAACGCACAAAUCUAACAAUUGAAAAGUUUAUGUAUUUAUACGCAGAGCUUGAUUGACUCCGAGAUAAUUCUGCACCUUCUUCCGAGGCCAAAGAAAGAAUUUAGACAUAAUGAUCAGCACCGUCAUUGUCAAGAUAAUCAGUUGUCAAACUUUUGUGCAGCAGAGGAACCUGACUCAUAGAAUUACUUUGGAGGCUUACAGCAAUGGAGGAGCCCUGCUGGAUCAGACUAAAGGUCCAUUGAGGGAAGAAGCAGAACUCUUUUUCACCCAAAGGCCGCAGACCCUUCCAUUAGGGGGUCGCCAAAGCUGAACAAUUUUGUGAAACAAAAAAAGGUCAACAACUUUGCCAGGAUGUUGACUUUUUGAAAUAUGGCAACCCUAUGUUCCAUAGGCCGCUGGUGGGUGCAACCAAAAACAAUAGCAGACUGUGGCUCAUAUCAGUGCAAAGUAGGCUACAUUCCAGGCAUGCAGAAGGCAGACUUCUCUGCAGACUCCUGCAUGUACAUCUAUCCAACUUCCAUACAGACGGGCAAGAAGCAUUGUCAUAGUUCAAGGACUUGCUGCAGCCAGGCAAAAGCAUCUGAGAAAGGUGCAGAGUGGGGCCAG